ACAACGGGUGGAGCUUGCGGUUUAAUUUGGAUUCAACGCCGGAAAUCUUACCGGGACCGACAGCAAUAUGAAGGCCAGGCUGAAGACUUUGCCGGAUUAGCUGAGAGGUGGUGCAUGGCCGUCGUCAGUUCGUACUGUGAAGCAUCCUGUUAAGUCAGGCAACGAGCGAGACCCACGCCCACAGUUGCCAGCGUACUCUCUGGAGUGACGGGUACACUGUGGGGACCGCCGCUGCUAAAGCGGAGGAAGGAAUGGGCAACGGUAGGUCAGUAUGCCCCGAAUAUCCCGGGCUACACGCGAGCUACAAUGGUUGGUACAAUGGGUAUCUACCCCGAAAGGGGACGGGAAUCUCCUAAAACCAAUCUUAGUUCGGAUUGAGGGCUGCAACUCGCCCUCAUGAAGCUGGAAUCCGUAGUAAUCGCGUUUCAACAGAACGCGGUGAAUACGUCCCUGCUCCUU
rnacentral:rRNA from 1 species